GACAGAGGGUGCAAACGUUGUUCGGAAUUACUGGGCGUAAAGCGCGUGUAGGCGGCUUGGCAAGUCGGGUGUGAAAGCCCUGGGCUUAACCUAGGAAGUGCACUCGAAACUGCCGAGCUUGAGUUCUGGAGAGGAAGGCGGAAUUCCCGGUGUAGCGGUGAAAUGCGCAGAUAUCGGGAAGAACACCCGUGGCGAAGGCGGUUCUCUGGGACGGUACUGACGCUGAGACGCGAAAGCGUGGGGAGCGAACAGG
rnacentral:rRNA from 1 species